UAUAAUAAUGUCUAAUCCAAGAAAUCAAGAUCCGGGAUGGGAUCAUGGUACACCGGUUUUGGAUAAAGGCACUACGCAUGUAUCCCGGAGGAUGCAAAUGAGGAGUUGGUGUUUGGUGAUGGGGAUAGGUUGACUUGGGAUGACAUUGCUAAAUUUUCGGGUGCAAAUGAAACUCCGUAUUCUCUUAGGCAUGCUUCAAAAGGAAAAGAGAAGGUUGGUAGUUCAACUUCAAGGUCUAAGGGAAAGGAAAAUGUUUCCCAAUCUAGACUAGUGAAUGAAGAUGAAGAUGAUGAAGAUGAGGAAGAAGCAUGUGAGGAUGAUGGAGUUAUGGAAUUUGACAAUUUGGAUUUGUGUGAUGAAGAAGAUGAGUUUGAUAUGGACGAUUGAAUGACUAUGAAUGAUUGAAUGAAUGGAA